AGUGAACGCUGGCGGUAGGCCUAACACAUGCAAGUCGAACGGCAGCACAGUAAGAGCUUGCUCUUACGGGUGGCGAGUGGCGGACGGGUGAGGAAUACAUCGGAAUCUACUUUUUCGUGGGGGAUAACGUAGGGAAACUUACGCUAAUACCGCAUACGACCUACGGGUGAAAGCAGGGGAUCUUCGGACCUUGCGCGAUUGAAUGAGCCGAUGUCGGAUUAGCUAGUUGGCGGGGUAAAGGCCCACCAAGGCGACGAUCCGUAGCUGGUCUGAGAGGAUGAUCAGCCACACUGGAACUGAGACGCGGUCCAGACUCCUACGGGAGGCAGCAGUGGGGAAUAUUGGACAAUGGGCGCAAGCCUGGUCCAGCCAUACCGCGUGGGUGAAGAAGGCCUUCGGGUUGUAAAGCCCUUUUGUUGGGAAAGAAAAGCAGCAGGUUAAUACCCCGCUGUUCUGACGGUACCCAAAGAAUAAGCACCGGCUAACUUCGUG
rnacentral:rRNA from 1 species